UGUCUCAGAUGGUAAAGAAUCUGCCUGCAAUGCAGGAGACCCCGGGUUCAAUCCCUGG
rnacentral:tRNA from 1 species